rnacentral:rRNA from 1 species
ACCGCGACCCCAGGUCAGGCGGGACUACCCGCGAG